rnacentral:misc_RNA from 1 species
UCACCUUCAAGCGCAGCUUGGUGUUGGGCGUCUGUCCUGCUGUCGGCACGGACUCGCCUCAAAAUGAUUGGCAGCCACUUCAGCGGCUUUGAGCGCAGCAGAAUUGCGUCUCUGGCGGCGAAAGGUGGCAUCCAUAAGCACACCUUUUUA